CCUACGGGUGGCAGCAGUGAGGAAUAUUGGUCAACGGGCGCGAGCCUGAACCAGCCAAGUCGCGUGAGGGAAGACGGUCCUAGGGAUGGUAAACCUCUUUUGUCGGGGAGCAAAAGACGCCACGCGUGGCGUUCCGAGAGUACCCGAAGAAAAAGCAUCGGCAAACUCCGUGCCAGAGCCGGCGGUAAUACGGAGGAUGCGAGCGUUAUCCGGAUUUUUGGGGUUAAACGGGUGGGCAGGCGGAAGAUCAAGUCAGUGGUAAAAUUGAGGGGCUUAACCUCUUCGGGCCGUCGAAACUGGUUUUCUUGAGUGAUGGAGAAGUAUGCGGAAUGCGUGGUGUAGCGGUGAAAUGCAUAGAUAUCACGCAGAACUCCGAUGGCGAAGGCAGCAUACCGGCGCUCAACUGACGCUCAUGCACGAAAGUGUGGGUAUCGAACAGGAUUAGAUACCCCUGUAGUC
rnacentral:rRNA from 1 species